UACAGAGGUCUCAAGCGUUGUCCGGAAUUAUUGGGCGUAAAGCGCGCGCAGGUGGUUUCUUAAGUCUGAUGUGAAAGCCCACGGCUCAACCGUGGAGGGUCAUUGGAAACUGGGGAACUUGAGUGCAGAAGAGGAAAGUGGAAUUCCAAGUGUAGCGGUGAAAUGCGUAGAGAUUUGGAGGAACACCAGUGGCGAAGGCGACUUUCUGGUCUGUAACUGACACUGAGGCGCGAAAGCGUGGGGAGCGAACAGG
rnacentral:rRNA from 1 species